rnacentral:rRNA from 1 species
AACGAACGCUGGCGGCAUGCCUAACACAUGCAAGUCGAACGAGACCUUCGGGUCUAGUGGCGCACGGGUGCGUAACGCGUGGGAAUCUGCCCUUAGGUUCGGAAUAACUCCCCGAAAGGGGUGCUAAUACCGGAUAAUGUCUUCGGACCAAAGAUUUAUCGCCUUUGGAUGGGCCCGCGUUGGAUUAGCUAGUUGGUGGGGUAAAAGCCUACCAAGGCGACGAUCCAUAGCUGGUCUGAGAGGAUGAUCAGCCACACUGGGACUGAGACACGGCCCAGACUCCUACGGGAGGCAGCAGUGGGGAAUAUUGGACAAUGGGCGAAAGCCUGAUCCAGCAAUGCCGCGUGAGUGAUGAAGGCCUUAGGGUUGUAAAGCUCUUUUACCCGGGAUGAUAAUGACAGUACCGGGAGAAUAAGCUCCGGCUAACUCCGUG